rnacentral:rRNA from 1 species
ACACAAUUAAACACCAAUUGUCCGCCAACAACUACGAGUCCCACUUAAAACUUAAAAGACUUGACGGUACUUCACCACGCCCUAGAGGAGCCUGUCUAAUAACCGACAAUCCACGAUUAACCCGACCCUUUCUCGCCCAACAGUCUAUAUACCGCCGUCGCCAGCUUACCUUGUAAAAGAAAUAAAGUGAGCUAAACAGUACUGCACUAAAACGACAGGUCGAGGUGUAACCUAUGAAAGGGUAUAAGAUGGGCUACAUUCUCCAACCGAGAAUACGAAUAGCACUCUGAAAUUAGCGCCUGAAGGCGGAUUUAGCAGUAAGAUAAGAAUAAAACACCUAACUGAACAUAACGCAAUGAAGUGCGUACACACCGNCCGUCAUNCCUGUCACNNNG